UAUUAUCAGGAUGAGGACGAACGGCCCUGAUAAACAUUUGCAUGCCGCUACCCAGAACAUUUGGCACUUAGCGGAGUUCAAACUACAACUCUCCUGCAAACCCACCCAAUUGUGAAUAAACCGACAAUAUCACAAAACAAUUACAUGUUCGGAACACAUGCAUGCAAACAACAAGAA